AUUUAGGUGGUGAGAACGAGAACACGGACACUUGAGCUCCUUGUGUACAAUCUCUCGCGCCUUCUGUUUUCAGUGCACAGGUUCUUCCUAGAAGCAGCGAGAGUAUUAGAGGUGGCAAGGAUUCUGUGUUUUCUCGUUUGUUAGAAAGUAGAGUUUUUGUUGUAUAGUAGUUUAGCUCUUUUGUUGUAUAGGAGGAAUCAAUUGUACUUGAUCGUUUGAGCACAGAUGUAAUUCGGUACCUUAGUUUGUUUUGAACCCCAGUUGUAUGUCUUUGGGGUUAGGUUUGUAAUAAGAGUUUUGCUAAACGUUUAGCUAUGUAAUAUUUACACGUAUACCUUAAGUUUCAACCAGGUGGUAAUUU